CUUCCUCAAAUCCAACUUCGAGUUCUCUAAAUUUUCUCUCAUUUUCGCUCUCGAAGGUUCCGGAGCUGCUUUUACUUUUCUCACUAAUUUCCAUGUACUCUUCGCGUGGAUUUAUCUGAAGAUGAAUGCUAAUAGUAACAAGAGCGAUAAAAGCAUCCACAAAUAGCAAAAGGGAAAGUACCUCCUCCAUCUGAAACUAAUAGUUUUCUAGACGAGCUAAAGGCUUCGAAAAUCAUCCCGUUCUGGAAAAACUCCAUCAAGUGCGAGAAGUCGGAGGAACUUUUAUUUAGAGUAACUAAGAAGUUAACCAGAGCAAAAUACUCAACUGCGAAGGUGAGCAGGCAGAGCCGCCGCAUCGAAAAACUCCAUCGCCAGUAAGCUUCAAUUUUUUGAUUUUUUUCGGCCAAUUGAGGCCUUUUAACGUAUUUUAUUGCAGGGAUGGGUACAAAACGGCUGAAAACGGCUAACCCAAGGCAAACCGUCACCACGAGCGGUGGUGCCAUCACUAGAGCACGGCGAAGCCGCCGUGCUGAAAUUCUGAAAUUGGCCAAAAAGGGUUUCUAACACUAAUUUUGAAUUUUUUCGGGUAUUUCUAGGUAUUUAAAGCGUGUUUUAAUCUCUGAAGAAAAAUUCAUAAAACUCGGAGACAACAAAUAGGCAUAGGCAAAA